UACGUAGGCAGCAAGCGUUGUUCGGAGUUACUGGGCGUGAAAGGGUGCGUAGGCGGCUUUUUAAGUUUUGGUGUGAAAUCUCCCGGCUUAACUGGGAGGGUGCGCCGUAGACUGUGGGGCUAGAGUGUGGGAGAGGAAAGUGGGAAUUCCUGGUGUAGCGGUGAAAUGCGUAGAUAUCAGGAGGAACACCGGUGGUGUAAACGGCUUUCUGGACCAUAACUGACACUGAGGCACGAAAGCGUGGGUAGCAAACAGG
rnacentral:rRNA from 1 species